CGUCAAUUUAACUUUCGAUGAAGGAUUCAGCGCAAUCUUCAGUGACAAAGGAACAAGUCUUGUCGGGGAGACCAGUCUUCUUCACGUGAGGUCAAAUGAGCAGCAAGCUCCCGGACUAAGGCAGUGGAACGUGCAGUUCUCUCCACAAGAAGAAGAAAUCAUCCAAAGCGUAAUUACCAAAUGGCUUCAUGUC